GCCCGAAGGAGGCGGGAGGCCGGCCCAGCCGUGGCCAGGGGAGGAGGAUAAAACGCGGGAGGCGCGACCGACCGCCACUGCACUGGUUGCUGCGGCGCGGGACGUGUCUGAUUGUACAACUGUCUGAAAAUUUUAUGAAGAUAUUUUGAGGAAGAAUUUCUUUACUUCGCCAAAUAACUGUAUCCUAGCAUUAUGUUCUGCAGAAGCUUCAGAUGGCUUAUCUACUUCUUUAUGGCUGUAGUCUUAGCUACUGGCUACAGUGACCCAGAUUCCAUUACAGAACCCAAUCCUGAAGUCACAGAGUACAUUUCAGGAAAUGACAAACCAGAGCUGUCCACAGUGGAGCCGGCGUGCGAGCAGCUCGCGGCUGCGCAGCUGUCCGUUGA